rnacentral:misc_RNA from 1 species
GAUGAAGAACGUAGCGAAAUGCGAUAAGUAAUGUGAAUUGCAGAAUUCAGUGAAUCAUCGAAUCUUUGAACGCACAUUGCGCCCGCCAGUAUUCCGGGGGGCAUGCCUGUUCGAGCGUCAUUAUAACCACUCAAGCUCUCGCUUGGUAUUGGGGUUCGCGGUUCCGCGGCCCCUAAAAUCAGUGGCGGUGCCUGUCGGCUCUACGCGUAGUAAUACUCCUCGCGAUUGAGUCCGGUAGGUCUACUUGCCAGCAACCCCCAAUUUUUACAGGUUGACCUCGGAUCAGGUAGGGAUACCCGCUGAACUUAAGCAUAUCAAUAAGCGGAGGA